UCUUUUUUGGUUCCUCUAAUAAUCAGUAUUUUUAUAUAUUGUUUCUUUUUUUUUUUUUCUAAUCCAAUCUCAAUGAUAUUAUAUCUUCUUGUUGUUUUAUUUUUACAUGGUGAUUUGAAUUAGGUCUUCUUGCUGAUUUAUUUUUGUUGCUGAAUUACUUCUCAUACUCAAAUAUUUCAUGCCUAAAAUUUGACUAUUAAAAAGGUAGCAUGUUAAUGGCUUUGAGCUCUUUUUCUGUGGGUUCUCAAUUUAGCCAAUACCACUUAUUUCUAUAGCCUUAUCUCAAGUCUUCCAUAGAUUUAGUUUGCUGCAUCUAUUGAAUAUUAAGUCCAUAAUUUCUAUAACCUGGAUGGUUAUUUGUUUUGGUCUUUACAUCCUUUCACAACUUUAAUUCUUUCUGCAGUGCCCAUUAGGUGUUCGAUGAAAUGAUUCUUGGAGUUGGUUGGGAUCCAAACAAUGUUCCAACUUAUAAUUGGAUCUUGAUGUGAGGGUGAUUCAAAUUAAAAUAAAGAUUAUUAGUUUAUCACUUCGAUGUCGAUCGUGCGUUUCUGCACCGCAAGGAGAUCCUACGGAACAUCAAAUCAAGAAGGUUGCAAGAUGAUUUAGAACUUGCUCGAAGGCUGGUUCACCGGUGGGACGAUGGUGAGUGUUCAUUCCCAUGAAAAUGAGAGUAAAGAGCGAGAGAGAGAACGAGACUCAUGGGAGAGGAGCUGGAGCGCUAAAAUUGUGAAGGUUUCACUUAUCAUGUCCUUGGCUGUGGACUACAUAUUUAUUAGGCCAUCAUGCGACUCAGAUUAAACUUUAUAAAAGAGUAUUGCUUGAACUUCUCUAGCCACUUAUGUUCAUCGCAAAAGGAUUUCACAGCCAUAGGCUCCAAGAAAGAAAGCAUCUCCUAACACAUAAUUUCAAAAAACAGUCGUGGAGAACACCUCAAAGUUAAUCAAGCUAGGAUUUAGAAUUGAGCAAGUGACUGCUACUAGAGCGACUGACGAAGAAUAGCUGGAUCACAUGAGCUGUUGUGGCUGCUAGUGAGGUUCGCAUAGGCUUGGAAGGCCAUAAACAGGAGUUCACGUUUAUUAUUGGAGAUUCUCAAAAUGAAGCUAUUUUUUUUUUCUUGUAUUUAUUGCUGAAUAUUUUAAGUCCCUGUAGUAGUCACUGAGAAGAACUUGUAUUCAUUUAACUUUAUAUAUGUUGAAGUAUUCAUUUUGACAUUGCUUAUGUAUUAAUUAAUAAUAAAAAAUGAUUUUUUGAAUUA